GGAGGAGCUCCUGAAGGACAGCAGGUUGCGGCAAGGCGGAGAUCAUUCAUCUUGUUAGUGCAAUUAAUGCAAAGGUACAGCGAGCUGGACAAGAAUAAUGAUGUUUGUCCUAUGUCCCUCCCGUUCUCCUUCUCCAGGGAUUAUCAUUGUUUCAUUACUCUGCCUGUGCACCUGGUUUAGUGCUUUUCUCCUCGGCAGGCGCUCUAGAAACGGUGGACCAAAUCAUCCUUGAUUCACUCUACUGCAGCAAGGAUGAUUGUGAUUCGGUGAAUGGUGGUGCAUGGCCGUUCUUAGUUGGUGGAGCGAUUUGUCUGGUUAAUUCCGAUAACGAACGAGACUCUAGCCUAUUAGAUAGGUGCUUGGUUCUCUGCACCUUGCACCCUUCAUAGAGGGACAAGCGGCUCCUGUGUAAAAGAAGACAGAGCAAUAACAGGUCUGUGAAGCCCUUAGAUGUCCAGUGCCGCACGCGCGCUACACAGAAGGAAGCAGCGUGUUU
rnacentral:ncRNA from 1 species